GACGAACGCUGGCGGCGUGCUUAACACAUGCAAGUCGAACGGAAAGGCCCUGCUUUUGUGGGGUGCUCGAGUGGCGAACGGGUGAGUAACACGUGAGUAACCUGCCCUUGACUUUGGGAUAACUUCCGGAAACUGGGGCUAAUACCCGAUAGGAGCUCCUGCUGAAUAGUGGGGGUUGGAAAGUUUCGGCGGUUGGGGAUGGACUCGCGGCUUAUCAGCUUGUUGGUGGGGUAGUGGCUUACCAAGGGUUUGACGGGUAGCCGGCCUGAGAGGGUGACCGGCCACAUUGGGACUGAGAUACGGCCCAGACUCCUACGGGAGGCAGCAGGGGAGAAUAUUGCACAAUGGGCGGAAGCCUGAUGCAGCAACGCCGCGUGCGGGAUGACGGCCUUCGGGUUGUAAACCGCUUUCGCCUGUGACGAAGCGUGAGUGACGGUAAUGGGUAAAGAAGCACCGGCUAACUACGUG
rnacentral:rRNA from 1 species